GUGCUCGGCUUCAGAAGCACAUAUGCUAAAAUAAUUAGAACGAUACAGAGAAGAUUAGCAUGGCCCCUGCACAAGGAUGACAUGCAAAUUCAUGAAGCGUUCCAUAUUUUU
ensembl:snRNA RNU6-891P RNA, U6 small nuclear 891, pseudogene